rnacentral:rRNA from 1 species
UACGUAGGGUGCGAGCGUUAAUCGGAUUUACUGGGCGUAAAGCGUGCGCAGGCGGCCCGUUAAGACAGGUGUGAAAUCCCUGGGUUCAACCUAGGAAUUGCGCUUGUGACUGGCGGGCUCGAGUACGGUAGAGGGGGGUGGAAUUCCUGGUGUAGCAGUGAAAUGCGUAGAGAUCAGGAGGAACACCGAUGGCGAAGGCAGCCCCCUGGGCCUGUACUGACGCUCAUGCACGAAAGCGUGGGGAGCAAACAGG